UACAGAGGUGGCAAGCGUUGUUCGGAAUUACUGGGCGUAAAGGGCGCGUAGGCGGUUCGUUAAGUCCUGUGUGAAAUCCCCCGGCUCAGCUGGGGAACUGCACAGGAAACUAGCGGGCUUGAGUUCGGGAGAGGGAAGCGGAAUUCCGGGUGUAGCGGUGAAAUGCGUAGAUAUCCGGAGGAACACCGGUGGCGAAGGCGGCUUCCUGGACCGAUUACUGACGCUGAGGCGCGAAAGCUAGGGGAGCAAACGGG
rnacentral:rRNA from 1 species